UGCCGGCUCCGGCGGUGAUGGAUCACCGUUUCAGUGGCAUUUAAAUCCCUGGCGCUCCUCCGCCUAGGUGACGCGCAGUCGCCCCCCCAGGCAGCUGCGGCGGCGGCGGCAGCUGCGGCGGCUGCGAUGGCAGAUUUGGAGCGCUGGGGCCUAGGGGAGCCGAGGCUGCCUUCUGCGCGCGCCCGACACCGGUCGCCCCCACUCCGGGAGGCGGGGGCUGGGAGGCAUCACACCCCCCCCGUCCCCGCCCCCCUCCCUGCCGGGCUCGGAAAGAGGUCUGUUUUGCCUGAAGCCAUCAACAGCUGGGCGAUUAAUCAACCACACGGAAAAUGUGCGCGGGCUGGGGCUGGGGGUGGGGGUGGGGGAGGGGUCGGAAUGUAGAUGUUUCAAACAAACGUGUAUAAAUAAAUGAAUUGUUGAUAACUUA